UCAAAUAAAUUUUUUUUAAUUAACUAUUAAUUUUCUAUUAAAUUUAUUAGUGUUCCUAAUAAAGCUAAAGAUUGCCAGUCCAGGGCCCUCUGAUCCCAUACAUUUCCUAGAGCAGGUACCCAGGAAAAGUAAGCAGGGUGUCAAGACCCAUGGCUUAGGAUUGGGGGGGGGGUCAAUCUUGUAAGAUCCUAUGACCCAAGUGUUUUUUUCCUUCCUUUUCAGUUGGCUGGUGUCUGGGAGACAACAAUGUGGAGAGGAAAGGGGAGAAGAGGAACACUCAAUGUUUCUUGCUUUUAGCCACAGCUCAUUUCAUGCUAUUGUGCUGAAAUGGCUGGAAGCUUUGGGAAGGUAGAAACGUGGGCUUCUAAUUCUGGAAUUACUGAUGAAGACAAAAGAAAGUUCGGGUUUGUUAGCUUGGUUCUCCUGCCCUCAUUUCAGCUCCUCCAAAGAAUAAUCUAGAGAAACAAAUGUGAGAAAUUUGUUUCUAAACUACCACUAAAGACAGAGGUGUGAACUGAACUCAAGAUGGGACUGUAAACUCAUGAUUCAGCUCUCCAAGACAGGAACUAAGAUGCAGAGAGAGGAAGAGUCUUGCCCAAGGACACACAGUAAAUUAACAGCAGAGCUAUUAACAGUUAAAAGAUGAGGAAACAGUCCCAGAGAGGUAAAGAACUUGCCUGCACUGAAGUCUGUGUUCUCCACUACUUCAAUCUACCGCCUCCAAGGAUGAUGUUGUAGCUUGAUGUAGCCUGUGGCUUGAAAUAUGGUGGGAAUAUUCAUGUCACAGAAAUCAGCAAAUACUACAAAUCAGCUUGUUUUGUUGAUUGUCACAGUUUAAGAAAGUGAUGAAGGACUUCCCUGGUGACGCAGUGGUUAAAAAUCCACCUGCCAAUGCAGGGGACAUGGGUUUGAUCCCUGGUCUGGGAAGAUCCCACAUGCCACAGAGCAACUAAGCCCAUGAGCCACAACUCCUGAGCCCGCGUGCUGCGACUACUGAAGCUUGCAUGCCUACAGCCCAUGCCCCACAACAAGAGAAGCCACCGCAAUGAUAAGCCCGCGCAGCACAAUGAAAGAGUAGCCACAAGAGUAGCCCCCACUCGCCACAACUAGAGAAAGCCCACACGCAGCAAUGAAGACCCAAGGCGGACAAAAAAAGUAAAAUAAAAAAAAAAUAAAUAAAUGAAAUAAAAUAAAAUUAUUAACAAAAAAAGAGAAAGUGAUGAAGAUGCUGAAGCACGGGGAGAUGCAGGGACCCCCAUGAGAGAGAUGGGAGGAUCAAUUUCAACGAGUUUCCAAUAUGGAUCCCAUUCUCUCUCAUGUGUAACCUUUAAAAUAAACUCCUUUUUUCUUAAGUCUUCCCCGUUAUCAAUAAAAGUGUGUGUGUAUGUGUGUGUGUGUGUUUAGGUAUAAUUUAUAUAAAAUAAAAUGCAGAGAUACUAAAAAUUCAGUUCACUGAGUUUUUACAGUGUUUACCCCCAGGCAACCACCACUCUAAAUGAGAGAACAUCCCCAUCACUCCAGAAAGUUCGUUCAAGCCUCUAACCAGUAAAAUUUCCACCAUGGCUUCCAACCUGCCCUCCCCCAGCCAUUUUCUGAUUUCUUUCAUGUAUAUGGUAUUUCAGUCUUCCAGUUGCUCAGGCCAAAAACCUUAGAGUCAUCCUUGACUCAUCUCUUUCUCUCACACCCAACAUCCACAGUGUUUCCUGUCAGGUAGAUUUUCAAAAUAUAUCUAAAAUCUAACUGCUUCUCAUCAACUCCACUGCUGCCUCCUUGGUCCAAGCCACAUCAUCUCUCACCUUCUGACCGGUCUCCAGCUUCCUUACCUUCCCAAGCUCCUCCACUCCUCAUACAGUCUGUUCACACAGCUGCCUGAGCAAUCUUUUAAAAAUGUAAAUUCAGAUCAUGACACCACUCUGUAAAACGCUCCAAUGCUUACCAUCUCUCAGAGUAGAAUCAACCUCAAGGUCUCUACCGUUGUAGGGUCGUCUCCAAUUUUUGGAUCUCAAUCUACUGCUCCCUGCUGGCUUACCAGGCUCUAGCCAAACCAGCCUCUUUGCUAUUCCCAGAACACACAAGCACAUUCCCCCCUCACAGACUUUGUCCUUUCUGGUUCUUUUUUUUAA